UCACUGCGAACACCAACUCCAUUAUCGUCCCGCCACAGAUUUCUCCUGGCUGAAUCCAGAGCAAAGUGGCCGUUCACAUGAAAAGGAAGGAAACGUGGCUGCACAGGAUGAUAGAGGGGCAUGAGACAGGGGUCCAUGUCUUGGAUGCCAACACUCUCUGAAGUCACAGCAGCGAGGACACUUAGAGACUUUCCUUCCACUCACUAAAACCUGAUACGUAAACCUUGAAAAUCAUCAGCACUGUCAAAAGAGGUCAACUCGACAGCACUGAAAGUGUUCCUGAAGACAGAACUGUUUUAUCUAAACUAAGAUUAGACAUGAUUAUUUCAGAACUACCUCUUUUAAGAGUAGUUUUUGCUUUACUAUCAAUCUGUUCAAAAUAAUAAACAUCAACACACUGAAUCACUUUUUAAAGACUGUACUAUGUUUUUUGUUUAUAUUUAUUCACAUGUUUAUGUUUAGUACCAACUUUGAGAAAGAUUUUUGACACAGAUGAAAAUAGGAUAUUAUAGACUUCUUCAAUAUUUACUUAGCCACAAAAUCUCAGUCCUGAAUGCCUUCACUGACUUGGGGCUCAGUACACUUGACCAGACUCCUUUGGAGUCACAACUGCUGACUCUGGGCGUCUGAGGCUGUGAGCACAGCAACAGCUCUUUCUACUUUUCUUGUACAGAAGGGGGCAGUGGCAGCUUUGAUGACUGAUGAGUUCUAAAUGUACUCCACUGUGUAGAGUGAGCCAAAUCUCUUUGUAAAAUACACAUGUGACAGAGAGCAAGUCCAUUCAAUGGUAAGCUACAGAUGAGUCAAAUCUUCCAAGAAACAGAAAGACGGGAAAAGAAAAGAACCAAUGAAGGAAAGGAAAGCAUGUCUGCCUGCCAAGCACUCCAUCUGGCACCAGGCAGCUCUAGGAGCAGCACUGAGAGAGGGGGACCAUGGGGGUCCAGUGGGAACAUCCACUCUAACGUGGAGCCUGCCAAUGUGGUUCCAAAAUCCACUGGUGGCCAAAUUUCUUUUCAAGAAGUCCACACUGGCAUUCUGCCCGUUCAAGGUGUCCUAGUGUUCAUCUAGAAUAGGUGCCACAAGACAACAGGAGAGGUCACUGCCAUUACCAGGAGCGUCCCUAAGGCUUAGGGAUAACUACGCAACCUACUCCUACCACCAUUUUGUUUUCUUCUUGGAUUAUACCUUACAAAUAUAGGAUAUAUUAGGUUUUAGAAAUAUAUAGUAAAAAUAGCUAUGGAUGACAAGCCACUUACAAGCUAGAAACCAAAUUUAAUAUUAAUAGGAAUCAUCAAUAUAACAAUGACUUGGUUUCUCAAUUCAGUAUGAGUACAGCUUACUACAAAGAAUUGACUGACUUCAAAAAAUAACAUUUACCAUAAAAACAAUGUCCAUUAAGCAACUACUGCAUCCUCUUCUUUUCCAAGUGAAACAUGAACUGAGGAAAAAUAAUACCAGCUGAGUCCAAAUAUUUUUAUUAAAAAAAAAAAGUCAGUAAAAUGACACACUAGGCAUGGUAAGAACAAUCAGCCGACUGUUCCAAAUGAAAACUGUGUUAACCACU